rnacentral:misc_RNA from 1 species
GAUGAAGAACGUAGCGAAAUGCGAUACUUGGUGUGAAUUGCAGAAUCCCGUGAACCAUCGAGUCUUUGAACGCAAGUUGCGCCUCAAGCCAUUAGGUUGAGGGCACGUCUGCCUGGGCGCCACAUAUCGUUGCCUGAUGCCAGUUUCCUCGUGAUGGGUGACUGUGCAGGGCGAAUGAUGGCUUCCCGUGAGCAUUGUUGCCUCAUGGUUGGUUGAAAAUUGAGUCCUUGGUAGGGAGCGCCGUGAUAGAUGGUGGUUGAGUGACGAACGCGACCCAAUCAUGUGAGACCCCUACCGAAUUUGGCCUUCAUGACCCACAUGCGUCUUUGGAACGCUCAUGACGGGACCUCAGGUCGGGCGGGGCUACCCGCUGAGUUUAAGCAUAUCAAUAAGUGGAGGA